GACGAACGCUGGCGGCGUGCCUAACACAUGCAAGUCGAGCGAUUUACUUCGGUAAAGAGCGGCGGACGGGUGAGUAACGCGUGGGUAACCUGCCCUGUACACACGGAUAACAUACCGAAAGGUAUGCUAAUACGAGAUAAUAUACUUUUAUCGCAUGGUAGAAGUAUCAAAGCUUUUGCGGUACAGGAUGGACCCGCGUCUGAUUAGCUAGUUGGUAAGGUAACGGCUUACCAAGGCGACGAUCAGUAGCCGACCUGAGAGGGUGAUCGGCCACAUUGGAACUGAGACACGGUCCAAACUCCUACGGGAGGCAGCAGUGGGGAAUAUUGCACAAUGGGCGAAAGCCUGAUGCAGCAACGCCGCGUGAGCGAUGAAGGCCUUCGGGUCGUAAAGCUCUGUCCUCAAGGAAGAUAAUGACGGUACUUGAGGAGGAAGCCCCGGCUAACUACGUGCCAGCAGCCGCCGUAAUAC
rnacentral:rRNA from 1 species